UUAGGGAAGGCAGAAAGUAGGUCAGGGACGGAGGUGCCUGUUUACCCGCGCCGGACUUGCCGCCGCCGCCGCCGCCGCGGGAACCGAGUGCUGGUGCGGGCGCGGGCGCUCGCGGCGAGCCACGCCCAUGACUGAUGUCCUGCCGGCUGCUCGGUGGCUGGUGAGCAAAUGGAUGCCAGUGAUGAACGAAGCAGAGAGACUGACUCUUGCCAGCUAUGCCAGCUAGUCCAUAAGGAGCCAUUGGACAAGAGAUUUCUCUAGGUGGUGGUGGCUACAGUGUACACUUUUGGAACAAAACUUAAGGUUUCAAAUGUGGAACCCUAGGCCUUCAUUGAACAAGAUGCAGAUGUUUUCCAGAACUUUCUUCAACCUCAGGCAGUAAGUUUUUUGGUGAAUAGUGUUUAGAACCAGAGUCUCUGCCCUCACGCUGCAGUGCGUGAACACAAACCACAGACAGAAAGCACUAGAAAGAAGGGGCCAGGUGACAGGUCUUCAGUCAGCAGGCCUUGAACAUGACUUAUCUAUCUUCCAAGCUACCCUGGGGCUCCUUCUCUGUGCCUCUUUUGAACACAGAAACCUUGUGAGGCUGGGGCUGCCUUAGCUUCUUCCCAGAGAGGAGAUGGCAGGGAUGGAGGGAUACAGCCGACAGCACACAUCAGUGUUUUCUCACAUCAGGCUCUGGUCUGUAAAGAACAAGGCAGGGAACUCCGUUUUUAGCUUCAUGAUGCUGUUAUUCU
rnacentral:lncRNA from 1 species